AUUCUGGAAGGAUGUUGACCCACGAACCUGAUAGUAUUGAGCUCAGACAUGCUGCUGUGCGUAAUCAAUUAUCAGCUUCUGACUUAAGCAUUCAUGCUGCAACGUUUCUUCCACCGAGGACAAGCUCAACUGAUGUGAUCAGUUUUCCUACCAGACGUGCUAGAAUGCUUGAUGAAACAUCUGCUUCUAACUCAGGAACUCAUGCUUCAGCCUGUGUUCCA